AAGAUUUAAAAUUAAAGGUCUUAAACACGUGGUCGUGACUUUUGUGAAAUUAACAAUACCUUGUCUUAUCAAUUUUGGGCCUAUCCUUGAUGACUUUCAGUUAAUUUACUCCUUCAUCCUUGAAUUCACUAUUGAGACAAUCUUUUAGGUCUUGGGGAGCGUAGUCAUGAUACUUGGGGGAGAACCUCGACGCUCCCUGUCACUUUUCUAGUCUUCCUUCUCUUUUUUUGUCAAAUUCAGUCUUUUCAUGGGAGUCAUAGAUAAUUGUAAUGCCUCCUAGGUUCUCUUCAUAUUGCUUAUAUCUUGGCUCUCUCUAGUUGGUGAUCGAAACUCUUUGGUUCUUUAAGACUUACAUGUCGUUUCCUUGAUUCAAACCUUGUUCUAAGAGGUACAUCUUCAUCUUAUCUUCAACAUCUUUCACCGAUAUUGCCUCUUCAUUAAACCUUUCAAUGUAGGCCCUCAAUAGUUCGUACUUAUUUAGCCUUCUAACCCUUAAAAUUUCAAUAGGCUUCAGUUGUUUGUACGAAACUGUGAAGUGCGAGGUAUAUUGACAAUAUUUUUCGAUCCACCAACCUAGCAAUUUCGGCCUUCUUGAGUGUGAGGAUAAACAACUUAUAUUUCACGAGGCCUCUAGCUCCAUUGAACCUAGAACGAUAUAGACAAUUUCCACUUGGUCACUUGGAUCUCUAAUGCCAUCUUAUGAAUCAAUGGUUGGCGACUUUUGUAGGGACUUGGGAAGAGGGUAGCCAUUGAUCUUACUAGAAAAUGUGUUCUGACAUGGUAGCUCAUCAUCAAAAUCAUACCUUUCUGACGAGGAACAACUAAAGUAAUUGUCGCGUUGAGAAAUUGCUUACUUUAUUUCUUUAGUGCUUUCUACUACCUCUGUUUCAACCGUCGUGGUUGUCUUUGUAACAAACUUCGACUCUGUGGGUCGGAUCGUUGAAUUUCUUCCGCAAGGUGUUUCUUGAAGUGAAGAUUCUUGGUGCAUAGAGCCUUGAAGUAAAGUGGCGAACUCACGGUCCAUCCUUAUCAAGAAGACGAAAGAAAAGCAAGUUCCAAUAAGAACUACGACUUGACCGUAAUGGUCGUAAUCUGCUCUUGAAACGUUUUUCUUUUGCGAAAUUCUUAUGGUUUCUUGUAAUUACAGUCCACGAAGGCAUCUAGAGCUAUAAAAAUGAACGAAAAUACUUCGUUUGACGCUGACAUUCCUACUCAUAAACUCUUUUGUUACUCUUGUUUUUGUUCUUGUUCUCUUAACAAUUUUCUAGUUUUAGUAAUAUUUAGUUUUCUAAUUUUAUUAUGUUAUUUUAUA